rnacentral:rRNA from 1 species
AUACGGAGGGUGCAAGCGUUAUCCGGAAUCAUUGGGUUUAAAGGGUCCGCAGGCGGAUUAAUAAGUCAGUGGUGAAAUCCUCUCGCUCAACGAGAGAACUGCCAUUGAAACUGUUAGUCUUGAAUUCGAUCGAAGUAGGCGGAAUGUGUCAUGUAGCGGUGAAAUGCAUAGAUAUGACACAGAACACCGAUAGCGAAGGCAGCUUACUAGACCUGGAUUGACGCUCAUGGACGAAAGCGUGGGGAGCGAACAGGAUUAGAAACCCUAGUAGUCC